UUGGGGACGACAUGGACUCUACUACAGCUUUCAUUUGGGUUUCCUGAUGACUAACAGAUUGAUCAGAAAUACUUAGUUUGCUUUACUGAAGACUAUUGAAUUGAAUCUUUCUGCCACAAAAUGUAUUGUUGUCUUUUCAUUAUCACCUUCAAAACUUAAGAGAGAAGAACUUUUGAUCUUUUGUAAAUGUUCUUUUUGGAAAAGCAAUAUCAUUGAGUUUUCUAACGUUCAUUUAUUUAUGUUGCCCACUUAAUGAUCCUGAAGUCAGAAAGCACUUCUGUUACAGUCCGAGAGAACAAAAAUAUGCCA